rnacentral:lncRNA from 1 species
AAAAGUAAAAAUAAAACAUCAUAGAUAUGGAUGAAUAAAAUUGUAUUCCAUUGAUGAUAAUAAGGAAAAUGAAAAACAAUGUUCACUUCUCCCUUAGGCAUAUGAUAAGACUUUUUUCUAAAAAUAAUAAAAACAAAUUACUUAGAAUAAUGAAUUACAUUAGGAACAUCAACAGCAACCCAAUUGUUACAAGUCUAGCCAUGCGUCAC